rnacentral:rRNA from 1 species
UCGGAAGGCAGCAGUGGGGAAUAUUGCACAAUGGGCGCAAGCCUGAUGCAGCCAUGCCGCGUGUAUGAAGAAGGCCUUCGGGUUGUAAAGUACUUUCAGUCGUGAGGAAGGUGUUAAGGUUAAUAACCUUAGCAAUUGACGUUAGCGACAGAAGAAGCACCGGCUAACUCCGUGCCAGCAGCCGCGGUAAUACGGAGGGUGCGAGCGUUAAUCGGAAUUACUGGGCGUAAAGGGCACGCAGGCGGUUAAUUAAGUUGGAUGUGAAAUCCCCGGGCUUAACCUGGGAAUGGCAUUCAAGACUGGUUAGCUAGAGUCUUGUAGAGGGGGUAGAAUUCCAUGUGUAGCGGUGAAAUGCGUAGAGAUGUGGAGGAAUACCGGUGGCGAAGGCGGCCCCUGGACAAAGACUGACGCUCAUGUGCGAAAGCGUGGGGAGC